UCCCUUUGAGUGUAUACCCGGAAGUGUCAAAAUAUUCCGGGAGAUCUAAACAUGGCGUCUAGGGAGUUACUGGCUUCAGAGAUGAAUGCGUCCAGCCUAAGUUUAAAUCGUUGCCCGAUGUUCCCUGAUAACCCAGAUCAUUGUGAUACUGUGGUUCUGGUGAGGAAAGUGGUGGCCUCGUUCUCCUUUAUUGGAUGUGUCUUCAUGAUCUUCGUCAUCUGGCUCUUUAAGAAAUACAUCGUGUUUACACAGAGGUUGAUCCUGUACCUGAGCAUCAGUGCGCUGUUGGACAGCAUCUCCUAUCUCAUGGAACACACAGAGAGUGACAUGAUCCCUGACAGUAAACUGUGCAACUUCUUGGGAUGGUGGCUGACAUUUUUUGACUGGACGGUGCUGCUGUGGGUGGGCUGCAUCACCUUCAACCUCUACAUGAACGUCAUCAGGGCCACCACCACACACAGGUUUGAGUGGGCCUACCAUAUUUUGUGCUGGGUGUUUUCAUUUGUGGUGUCCUGCUUGCCUUUCAUCAACGACCGCUACGGGCCUGCUGGAGCCUGGUGCUGGAUUAUCGAAGACUGGAAAUGGAGGCUGGGCAUCUGGUAUGGCCCUCUGUUCAUCAUCAUUGCCUUGCUGUUUGUGGCCUAUAUCUACAUCUCCGUCAUGCUCCACAGAAAGGCCAACACCUGGGAAGGAACAUACGAUCCUGACACAGAGAGAGAACAUCAAAUGCUGAAGGAGGAUAUCAAACCACUGAGGUUCUACCCCUUUGUGUACCUGGCCGUGUCCAUCUUCCCCCUCAUCAACAGGAUUCAGAAUGCAAUAUCCCCCCAUUACCAUGUGUUUGCGCUGGUCCUGCUGGCGUCUAUAUCAGCUCCACUGCAUGGUGCUCUAAAUGCUAUUGUGUUCGGUAUGGACAAAGAAACAUUACACAAGUUGAAACCUGCACAAAUACGCGUGGCGUUUCAGAGUCACUUGCAUCAUCAAGAAGUGCGAGAGUACCCCGUGGCGUACCGCUCCCCCGAAACGCCUCCCAGUCACAGCGUGGAGUCCCAAGCACCUCGAUUCCAGCACAUCUCCUACUCCAAACUGCAUUAAUACAUUACUAAUAUAUGUAACAUUGUCAUACUAACCCUCUCAAUGCUAGGAGCAACGACUAAUACUAGAGCCAUAGACCGCCUCCGUGGUCCAGUGGAUUGAGCGUUUGUCUGGAGAGUGGAUGGUUGGUGGUUUGAUCCCUGUCUGCGUCAUACCAAAACACAUGAAAAGACGGUGCUUGUAACCUUUUAUGCAGUAAGGGGAUAAUACAAGGACUGGUCGGCUUGGAGUCAGUAUAUGGUGUCUCAUUGGGGUAUCCAUGUUAAACUGCGGCAUGGUAUCUCAGUGGGCUAGCACUAUAAAACUGGUAUAAGUCCGGACUAGUACUAGAAGCCACACACACACACACAUGUUGCUAUAUAAGUGCAAUAAUCCUGAAUGCGACAUAAAUUUCACCUCACAAGUUUCGUAUAUUAUAUUUUUGCAUUGUUCUGCAUGAUCACAAGUUUAUUGUUUGUUGAGAUUAUGUUUUGAUUAUGUAAGAGUCUAUCAUAAGGGUUAAUAUUAUUUUUGGUAAGUUGGUGAAAGAUCCUGUUUUAUUGACGUGGUCUGGCCUUAUUACAAUAUUUUAUAUAUUUGCAUAAGCAGUGUUCCCUUUAACCGGUAUAUACCAGUCUUUUACCGGUAAAAUUAAGCUUGGACCAGUAAUUCAUGUGCCUGUCAGUCCUUUACAAAUCUUUGUUUUUGAACAAAACAUUGGCUAUAUUCAUAUAAGUAUAUGUUUCGAAUGAAGUCAGCAUGUCUGUCAGCAUCACGGAUUCCCCUUGUCUAUUUUUAGUGCAAGCAAAUCACAUUACGCUUUGCAUCGAGGUUAACUGUACAUUUGUGGCAACUUCAGCUCGAAAUAUUAACCAAAAAAAAGAGAAACAUGUGACUGAACUUUAUGUAAAUGACAUGUAAAUUUAACAAAGUUACUUCAGAGAUGGCGUCAUUGCAUUAAACAUGAUAUUAAGAAUUAAAACCAGGUAAUUUUCAUACUUUUUUUAUUUGGUAAAAGUUGAGACUGACGGAAAUUAGGGGGUACUGGUCAUUUUUAGAGUUGCCAGUCCUGGUGGACUGGUAGUUUCAAAAGUCAACGGGAACACUGGCAUAAGUUCUCCUUCUCCUUCUUCUCAACAAUUUUGUUAUUUGAAAGACAUUGAGAAUAUGUUAUAUCCCAAUCCAGUGUCCAUGGUAACCGCUGUGGGGCCAUUGUGUGCUGGACGUUCAGCCUUGAGAACAGUCUGUGUCUUCUCGGGGGUACAAGUCAGAUAACCUUGUACUCUGUUGGACUGCACGGUGUACAAGUCAGAUAACCUUGUACUCUGUAGGACUGCACGGGGUACAAGUCAGAUAACCUUGUACUCUGUAGGACUGCACGGUGUACAAGUCAGAUAACCUUGUACUCUGUAGGACUGCACGGUGUACAAGUCAGAUAACCUUGUACUCUGUAGGACUGCAUGGUGUACAAGUCAGAUAACCUUGUACUCUGUAGGACUGCACGGUGUACAAGUCAGAUAACCUUGUACUCUGUAGGACUGCACGGUGUACAAGUCAGAUAACCUUGUACUCUGUAGGACUGCACGGUGUACAAGUCAGAUAACCUUGUACUCUGUAGGACUGCACACUGUUACCAGUACACUGCACUAUGUUUCAAGUAAUGCAUAUUGCAAUAAUCAGUGUUCCAGUAUAUUGGGUAAAAAAGUUUUGUUAUCAUUUGUAUCGCUUAACCUAAGGUCAACACAGAGAUGCAUUCAUACAUGAUGUCUUUCCCUCGAAACUGACAAAAUGACAGAAACACGAAAGUUUUCACUCACAUUGUUAUCUCCCCUGAAUGCAUGACUACAAAAUGGCAGCGACUGAUCAUGCUGAAUAAUAUCUACUUUGGUAUGUAGAAAAUAGGAUCUGCGUGUACAAACAGUGUAAAACACUAAGCUCACAAUAUAUCACAAUACAGACACCUGUAUCAAAAUAUAUUGCAAAACCAUUUUUUUGCUAGUGCACAGUCCUACUUAUUAAAAGAACAACCAAUCCUGUUUAAUUGACUUUCUUGAUUGUGUGUCUGGUGGUUCAACAUUGUAUCAUUCACUGUAAUGUUAGAUGUUAACGUUUCUUGUCCUGUUGGGGGCAGGGUUGACUUAGUCGUCUAAAGAGAUGCAAAGUCUUUGUCCAAAGUUGUGUCCUUUGGGCAAACCAGAAACCUAACAAUAGCCAAUAAGCUGGACCCCCUGGAAUAGAAACAUUUUGAAUAUGCAUAUGAAUAUACUUUGUGAGCAAAUACUCAACGGCUCAAAACAUUGUCGGGAUGAUAAAACUCUGAAGUCACAAUCAGCGUUAAUUAUAAUACUACGUUUAUCACAAUACUAUGUUUAUCUUAACAAGUUAAUCAAAAUAUGUUUAUCACUUCUUUGAAAGGCAUUUAAAAGUGAUACACAUAAGGAAGAGAAUUUAUGGAUGUCAACGUUUCGGAGUAUAUGCAUACCCCUUCAUCAGGUGAAUGAAUGCUACAAGGCAGAGAGCAUAUGUAUGUACGUGUAAGAACAAGAAGACUAAUUUGAUAACAAAAGGUGGAAACUUAACAAGGGAAGCCAACACAUAAUUUGUUUCCACCUUUUGUUAUCCAUAAAUUCUCUUCCUUAUGUUUAUCACUAUUCUACAAUCAUAACAAGACUAUGUCUAUCAAAAUACUAAGUUUAUCACAAUACCAUACAUAUCAUGAUACAAGAUGUCUGAGUGAAAUUGCUUUUUGUAGGCCAUAUUGAUACACUACAGGUCACAAUUGUAUUUUUUACAAAAUCCGUUUUAGAUGCCAAAUGUUUUUCGCUAAUUUACCUCAGGUACUCCAUAAUAUAUCGUGUAUAUUCAAGUUAAUUGAUGCCAAACAAACAAUCAUUUGAAUGGGAAACUAAUUUCCUUCUUGUAUUAAUAUGCUUGUGUUGACACGAUGAUUUUGUUUGUUUAUUACAUAAUGUCAGUCUCAUUAAUAUUGCAGUUAUAUGACAGCAGUCUGUAAAUAAUCUUGACCAGACAAUUCAGUGAUUCAUUGCAACCCAUGCUUGUCAUAAGAGGUGACUGAAUGGAUCAGGGGGUCAGACUAGGUGACAAGGUUGAUGCAUGUUAUCGUAUCCCAGUUGUGUGGAUCGAUGCUCAUGAUGUCAAUCACUAGUUGGCUCCGGUCCUGCCUCAAUUAUUAACAGACCACAGUCAUAUAGCUGGAAUAUUGUGGUCGUAAACAACAAACAAGUUUUGUAGAUAUAAUUUUUCAUCUGUUCAGUUAUUAUCUAGCUUUUGUUCAGAUGCUAGAGGUGAAAGUAUCAGAUGAUUUAUGAUGCUACUAUAGUUUCACAGUAAUUCUCAUAAAGUCACCUCUUACGACCAGACUUAUGAUUCAAAUGCGAAAUGAUUGAUGGAUAGGACCAAAAAGAUAAUCAUUUGGUGGCUGUCAUGUGACCAACCCUUCCCAAGAUGGCCUAAAUAGUUUGUUUUUGUUAUAUAUAUGCCCAUUUAUACCCUGUCAAACCAUGGGUACAUUUUAAGAACUAGCACUGCAGGUCUAAGAAAUGAAACAAUGAAUGCCUACAAACAAUCUGGAAUUGAACAUGUUGUUGAUGACUUAGCCUAAAUGAUUUGUUGUAGUGAAUGCUGCAUAGGUGUUGUGGUAAAGGGAAUCUUUAGUAGAUGGAAAGGUUCUCCAGAUGAAAGGGUUCACUAGAUUAAAGGUUCUCCAGAUGAAAGGUUCUCCAGAUGAAAGGGUUCACUAGAUUAAAGGUUCUCCAGAUGAAAGGUUCUUGAGAUGAAAGGUUCUUGAGAUGAAAGGUUCUCUAGAUUAAAGGGUUCUCUAAAUGAAAGGUUCUCCAGAUGAAAGGGUUCACUAGAUUAAAGGUUCUCCAGAUGAAAGGUCCCCAAGAUGAAAGGUCAUCCAGAUGAAAGGUUCUCCAGAUAAGAGGGUUCUCAAGAUGAAAGGUUCCUCAGAUGAAAGGUUCUUUAGAUUAAAGGGUUCUCUAGAUGAAAGGUUCUCUUGAUGAAAGGUUCUCCAGACGAAAGGUUCUCCAGAUGAAAAGGUUCUGCAGAUGGAAAGGUUCUCUAUAUGAAAGGGUUCUCCAGACGAAAGGUUCUCCAGAUGAAAAGCCUCUCCAGAUGAAAGGUUCUCUGGAUGAAAAGGGUUCUCCAGAUGAAGGUUCUCUAGAUGAAAAGGUUCUCCAGAUGAAGGGGUUCUCUAGAUGAAAGGGUUCUCCAGAUGAAAAGGUUCUCAGAUGAAAGGUUCUCUAGAUGAAAGGGUUCUCUAGAUGAAAGGGUUCUCUGGAUGAAAGGGUUCUCCAGAUGAAAGGUUCUCUGGAUGAAAGGGUUCUCCAGAUGAAAGGUUCUCCAGAUGAAAGGUUCUUGAGAUGAAAGGUUCUCCAGAUGAAAGGGUUCUCUAAAUGAAAGGUUAUCCAGAUGAAAGGGUUCACUAGAUUAAAGGUUCUCCAGAUGAAAGGUCCUCCAGUUGAAAGGUUCUCCAGAUAAGAGGGUUCUCCAGAUGAAAGGUUCUUUAGAUUAAAGGGUUCUCUAGAUGAAAGGUUCUCCAGACGAAAGGUUCUCCAGAUGAAAAGGUUCUCUACAUGAAAGGGUUCUCCAGUGGAAAGGUUUUCCAGAUGAAAGGGUUCACUAGAUUAAAGGUUCUCCAGAUGAAAGGUUCUUGAGAUGAAAGGUUCUCUAGAUUAAAGGGUUCUCUAAAUGAAAGGUUCUCCAGAUGAAAGGGUUCUCAGAUGAAAGGUUCUCUAGAUGAAAGGGUUCUCUAGAUUAAAGGUUCUCCAGAUGAAAGGUUCUCUGGAUGAAAGGGUUCUCCAGAUGAAAGGUUCUCUAGAUGAAAGGGUUCUCCAGAUGAAGGGGUUCUCUAGAUGAAAAGGUUCUCCAGAUGAAACGGUUUUCAGAUGAAAGGGUUCUCUAGAUGAAAGGGUUCUCUAGAUGAAAAGGUUCUCUAGAUGAAGGUUCUCUGGAUGAAAGGGUAUCUAGAUGAAAAGGUUCUCUAGAUGAAGGGGUGCUCGAGAUGAAAGGGUUCUCCAGAUGAAAAGGUUCUCCAGAUGAAACGGUUCUCAGACGAAAGGGUUCUCUAGAUGAAAGGGUUCUCCAGAUGAAAGGCUUCCCCAGAUGAAACGGUUCUCUAGAUGAAACGGUUCUCAGAUGAAAGGUUCUCUAGAUGAAAGGGUUCUCUGGAUGAAAAGGUUCUAUAGAUGAAAGGGUUCUCCACAUGAAAGGGUUCUCUAGAUGAAACGGUUCUCAGAUGAAAGGGUUCUCUAGAUGAAAGGGUUCUCUAGAUGAAAGGGUUCUCUAGAUGAAAGGGUUCUCCAGAUGAAAGGGUUCUCUAGAUGAAAUGGUUCUCAGAUGAAAGGUUCUCUAGAUGAAAGGGUUCUCUGGAUGAAAGGGUUCUCUAGAUGAAAGGGUUCUCCGGAUGAAAGGGUUCUCUAGAUGAAAGGGUUCUCUACAUGAAACGGUUCUCAGAUGAAAGGGUUCUCCAGAUGAAUGGGUUCUCUAGAUGAAAGGGUUCUCCAGAUGAAAAGGUUCUCUACAUGAAAGGGUUCUCCUGAUGAAAGGCUUCCCCAGAUGAAACGGUUCUCAGAUGAAAGGGUUCUCCAGAUGAAUGGGUUCUCUAGAUGAAAGGGUUCUCCAGAUGAAAAGGUUCUCUACAUGAAAGGGUUCUCCUGAUGAAAGGCUUCCCCAGAUGAAACGGUUCUCAGAUGAAAGGGUUCUCUAGAUGAAAGGGUUCUCUAGAUGAAAGGGUUCUCUAGAUGAAAAGGUUCUCCAUAUGAAUGGGUUCUCUAGAUGAAGGGGUUCUCCAGAUGAAAAGGUUCUCAGAUGAAAAGUUUUCUUGAUAAAACAGUUCUCCAGAUGAAAAGGUUCUCUGGAUGAAAGGGUCCUCUACAUGAAAGGGUUCUCUAGAUGAAAGGGUUCUCUAGAUGAAAGGUUCCCUUGAUGAAAGGGUUCUCUACAUGAAAGGGUUCUCUAGAUGAAAGGUUCCCUUGAUGAAAAGGUUCUCCAGAUGAAAAGGUUCUCUACAUGAAAGGGUUCUCUAGAAGAAAGGUUCUCCAGAUGAAAAGGUUCUCUAGAUAAAAAGGUUUCCCUAGAAGAAAGGGUUCUUUAGAUGAAACAGUUCUCCAAAAGAAAGGAUUUUCUUGAUGAUAAUGAAAGGGUUCUCUAGAAGAAAGGGUUCUUUAGAUGAAAGGUUCUCCAAUGAAAGGAUUCUCUUGAUAAUGAAAGGGUCCCACGCGACCUGAAUUUGUUUCUUACAAAACUUGAGCUUCUAAGUGGAGGCUGAAGUCCCUGCUGCGGCAUUAAGCAAUAUUGAGUCACUCCCAAUUGAUUCUAAAACCUAUCAGGUAAAAAAUGUUUUGGAUAUAAGUGGAUACGCUUUUCAAGAGUCUUUUUAAGCUGACUCAUCAAAAGUUGGCCCAUGAAGGACAUCUCUCAAUGUGAUAAAUGAAUAAUUUACUUUCCGUCCAUACAUGCUUGAAUGAAUGUGUUUGUUCAAGUAAUUCUUUUCAAUAAAUUGGUAUUGGAUAUUCAUUUGUUACAUUAAUAUAUAUGGUAUUGAGCAAUUGAUGAUGCACACAGCAAUGUCACAGCAGUUUCCAGCUUUAACCAAAUAAAAUAAGAAAUUGUACAGCUUAUGAUUCAUGUAUAUUAUAAAUGUAUAUUUGCUAUUUAUCAUAUUGAUUUAUGUAUAAUUGCCAGAAUAUUUAAGGAUUGACUGUGCAUUUUUCCGUUCAUAUAGGUUUGAAUCGAAAAAUACCUAUGUGCAAACUAUGAUUCUGUUGAGCGUAACUAAAUAAUUUAUUUCUAUAUGAUAGCCAGAAUAUAUACUAUUAGUCAUAGAGAAGAAUAAGUAGAUGAUGUAGGAAAAAAAACUAUCAAUUAGUCAUUCAUACAUGUUAAUACAUUCCGUAAUAUUUUUACAUGAAUUAUGCCUUUUGGAAUUUCAUUUUAUAUAACUGGUCUCAGUAUUUGGCAUAAUGCUUGUUUUGAGAUCAUGAAGAUGAACUUUGUUUUCUCAUCUGAUUAUACUGUUAUUGUGUGACUGUGACAUUGAGUGAUGUUCGUGACAUCAUUCACUGGUUUGCCUCAUCAAGACCUUCUGUGAACUAUGCCCCUGAAACCCAACCUGAAAUUGCAUGGUCACAAAUGUUUGUCAGUGAUACAGAAGAAUGCCAGUGCUUUGUGAUGUACAAAAGUAUGUCAAUGAUAUACUUACUCAAAACAAGUUAAAGAGCACCCACAAUUGAAAGUCUGUGUUGCAAUUCCCACGAGCCAUGACGGAUUGAUUAUAGUCAUAUGAAAAAUAUGGGUGUUUUUUAACUUCUUGUGAGUAGUAUGUAUACCACUCAACUCUUCAUAGGAAUAUUUUGAGUGUCAGUGUUGGAACUGAAUGCAACUAUUUGUUUGGGGAAGUCCGCGAAAAUUGUUCAAUGUUCCCAUGGACUGGAGUAUCUUCUCUUUCUUUCAAGUUACAAUGAACAUAAGUAUACAAUUUUAUAAGUUGUUGUCCUCUGUGUUUUGUAAAAGGAUGACAAGUCGAGUGUUUUUUCCAGGAUUCAGGCUAAUUUGAUCAUAAUUAUGCAUUUUAAAAUGAGUUGUGUGCAGAAAAAACAAAAACAUUUAUUAUUUUUUCAGUGAUAAAAUUCUUUUAAUUUUUGGAACUAUAAUUACAUGUAAUUAAAUCACAAAGUGGUCAGUCAUUAGUAAAGAAAUGUCUUGAUGUAAGCAAAGUCUGUCAUGCUCAUGACCGUUAUGUUUACUAUGAAUACAAAAGUGAAUGAAUUCCUGUGAUGUAUAUAGAAACGUUGAUCUGUGCAUGACCAGAAUCGAUGUAUUUGUGUCUGAUAUUUCAUGCAGACAGACCGUAUGUAAAAAAAUACAUAUCCAUAAUCUUAGUUAUGACUUUCAUACACUCCCACACUGGUUGAAUGGAAAUCCCUACCCCCCCCCCCCCCCCCCCCCCCCC
rnacentral:misc_RNA from 1 species